UUUUCAAAUCGUUUGCCAUGUUCUGUAAACCGUUCCGUUUUCGUUUUAUCGAACAUCAGCGAAUCGUUUUGUCGCCCUGUUUUGGUUAUCGGACUCGUUACAAACAAUUUUACCGUUUUGAUAUUAAUUCAAGUUACAAUUUUUGGGCGUAGUGACCGAUAAGUUAUUAAGAAAUUUGUAUCAUUGAAACCAGCGGUAAAGAGGUGCCCAACUUAUUCCAGAUAUUGUACUAUAUACAUAUACUUGUAUACUGCGUUUGAGACAUCAUAACACCUGACAUCAUGACACCUAAAAAAUCUGUUAAGUAAAAACCAUAAAAAGGAUUCAAUUAGCCUGAAAGCAGAGCAGUAUCACCGUAGAACGGACCCACAAAAUUGUUAACCGGAUAAUAAUUAUUUUAGAUAUUUCGGCUCCAAUUGCAUAAUUAUAUUGUAUUAUAAAUGAUUUUUGGAAAAAGCGCAGUUGGAUGUCCUAUGGGAACUUGUGAGGUGGGAGAUCAGUUCCGAAAAGUUAAUGUCUUGUUCGCUUUAAUAAGUGCAGGACUGAUCAAGGAAGCUGACGGAAGAAACAUUGCAGCUUACCGAUUUACGGCCAUAUCGAUCACUUAAUUGAGUCCAAAAUGAAGGGCUAAUGAUCAUUCCCAAAAAUACAAUGGUUGUCAUAAAUGCUUUUUGAGUCGGCCAUCCAACAAAGUCCAACAAAAAGUGAUAGUUUAACGUGAAACCAUCCAAAUCCUAAGAGAUUUACUGCCUGUUGAACGGUAAAUGGACGUAGAAGAUACCCACAGCUCUCCCAAGACUGUUAGGUCCGUAACUUCUGCGCCUAGAGCAUCUGGACCACCCAUCGCAGCACCAAGGAUGCAAAGAGCCAACAGUUUGAUUAGCAUCUGCUUCCACGAUGCAGUCUUUGCCAUCGACCUCACGUCCUGAAGAUGGGUGCACCAUCUUCAAGAGCAUGAAGCCCGCUCAACGCCAACAGAUCGCCAGAGCCCACGGACACAAAGCUCCACCUUUGACUGUAUAAUCGAAGGAUGGUGUCAAUAUUGCCAACGCAUUACACUUUAUUCCAUCGAUUCCCUCGACGAAGAAAUCCGUCCACAUCGCAGACCAGUCACCGGCACAGACAACAAGGGAAUCCCGUCCAGCGUCAAAGAGUAUCUGAUCCCGCGACAUUUUGCAACUAAGCACACAACCCACCAUACAACAUCAUACAACACAAUGCAACAUCAUACACCAACUACAACACAACCAUAUACAACUAACCAACCACACUAUACACCGACACUUCAAUCAUAAUCUUUUUCACCACCCAAAUAAACAAAAAGGAUUGUGCAGACCAGAAUGGUCUCUUUUUGUUUCUCGACACCCGUUCGUAAAGCGAAAACGUAGCAGCGCAGUUUGUACGGAAGUGCCCUAAAGUGAAUAUCCAAAUCAAGUGUAUUUAACAUUAAAAAAUUUAAAAAUAUUAUAUUGUAAUAUAUAAAAGAUAAAUUGUAUUUUAAUUAUAUUUGCUAACCGAAUUCUGAAAGAAUAAAAAAUAAAAGCAAACUGAGUAACCAAACAUAUACAUAUCUUCAUUUUGAGUGGCUGCUAUUUUAUAUGGCAUUUAUAUGUUACAUUGGUCCGAUCUGAACAAUAUGUUAAAAACAAGACAAUUUUUUUGUUCUGCCAAAAAUAAAGUUUAUUUAAAAAAAAGUGAAUAUACCAGAAAAAUAUAUAAAAACAGAAAUCCUUAUUUGCUUAUAUAAAUAUGAAAUGAAAUGCUCCAAAAUUUUAUAAAACGCAAAAAAUCAAUUUCGUAGCAAGAAUCAUUCAUUUGCAGAAAAGUCUACAGCUAUUAUAUUAAUCAGUUACUACUUGUUUGGGUCUCCUUUGCCUGUACAAUUGUCUCCAACCGAUUGUUCAUGGAAAAUACGAAAUUUUUUGUGGUUUCAACCGUUAUUUGAAUCCAAUCAUACACCAUUUUUUAGUUCCUAUUUACUCCUGUAUGCAGGAUUUUAAUUCAUCCCACAAAUUUUCUAUCGGUUUAAGUUCCGGUGAUUUAAGAGGCGAAUGGAGCUGUUUCGGUACAUUAUAAAGUAAACACGCCUUAACAAUAUGGGAUGUUGAUAAUACCAGGAAAUACCCAACUUGCUUGCAAAACCUUACUAAUUGCUUGUCUGAAAGUUCAAAUGAACACAGUUCAUUCGCCGGCAUGCAGCCUUAUAAUUGUCCUGAGCCACGGCCGUGUAGGGCAGUAAAUUGCCAGAAUCAACUAGACAGCGAAUUCGUAGUUGCCAGAAUGUUCUAGUGGCGAAGUUUUGUUAAGGGCUAAGGGCUGCCGAAUUCUGCAGCACGCACAUUUUUAUUGCAGUAUAACACAGGGGAAACACUCAUAAACGAAACUCUUAAUAGGGAUGUGACUCCAAAAUGAAGAAGAUUUUUGGGCCAACCGCAAAAAUAAAACGGUAUAGUGGGAGAAGGUGUUCUGUGAAAUCAAAGAUGUUUAUAGCUGGUUCCGUUUCAGUCGGGAUGACAUAACCCGGAAAUAUCUAAAUAUGAUGACAAAAUAUCUCAAAAACAACUCAUCCGGUGAAGCAGCUAACAGCUGGGGAUAUUAUGAAGAUUUCGACGAUGUGCAUGGUACGCAUCGUGACGUCGUGGUUCCUCCCAAUUUAUUGGAAUCCAGUUUAAAUGAGUCAUUAGAGAUGGUAUUGGAUGGCGAGAGUGGUAACCGAAAUUCUACUCUGCCUCCUAAGUCCAAGCGACCAAGAUGUGAAGUUUUGAAAAUGCUGCGAAAUGAACACCAUUAAUAUGAAAAAUGUUUGAAUAAAUUUUCGGAAAUUGAAAAAGAGUGAAGGCAAGUGGAAAAAGUUGGCAGAGAUGAUAAGGCUUCGCAAAGUUUUAAUGGCAGUGAGUCAAAAUUAAUAAUAAAAAUUUGCUAACAUAACAUUAUUUACCUCUGAUAUAAACUUUUAUUCAAUGCAAGUGAUCUCAGAAGUACAAAUAUUUAAAAGGAAUUUCUUAUUAUUAAUAUAGUAACAUACAUUUUAUGUAAUGUAAACCUUAAAUACUUUUAAAAUAAUAUAUUCAUGAAUAAAUUUGUAAUAAAGUUUUCAUUUUUAUACUCUUGCACCAUGUUGCCACAGUUAUUUGUAUCAUCCUAAAAUAAUCGAGUU